rnacentral:piRNA from 1 species
UAUACAACCUUGUAUUAGCCUAGAAAACCUC